UACGGAGGGGGCUAGCGUUGUUCGGAAUUACUGGGCGUAAAGCGCACGUAGGCGGACUUUUAAGUCAGAGGUGAAAUCCCAGGGCUCAACCUUGGAACUGCCUUUGAUACUGGGAGUCUAGAGAUCGAGAGAGGUGAGUGGAAUUCCGAGUGUAGAGGUGAAAUUCGUAGAUAUUCGGAGGAACACCAGUGGCGAAGGCGGCUCACUGGCUCGAUACUGACGCUGAGGUGCGAAAGCGUGGGGAGCAAACAGG
rnacentral:rRNA from 1 species